AGAAAUUAGUCUUUUUCUGAAACAGAUAAUGGAAAUCAUAUUUAAAUAUCAACAAGCAAUAUGGCGAAUAUAUAGAGGAUUCAUCGGACACUUUCCAAGUUUUCAUUCUUCCAACGAGAACCGGGAGAAAGAAGGAUCCCUCGGAGGACAUUAAGAAUUAGACGCGAAGAUUUUCCAUUAAAUGGAACAUUGAUUGAUUGCUGUGGAUAAAGUUCUACGAGGCGGCCGCGUGAUAAAUGGAUAUUUCGGAGUACUCCGGAAACUUUUCUCGUCUCCAACUUACCGGACCGUGAUAUUAUUUCCC